rnacentral:rRNA from 1 species
CGGGUGAGUAACGCGUGGGUAACCUGCCUCAUACAGGGGGAUAACGGUUAGAAAUGACUGCUAAUACCGCAUAAGCGCACAGUACCGCAUGGUACGGUGUGAAAAACUACCGGUGGUAUGAGAUGGACCCGCGUCUGAUUAGCUAGUUGGUGAGGUAACGGCCCACCAAGGCGACGAUCAGUAGCCGACCUGAGAGGGUGACCGGCCACAUUGGGACUGAGACACGGCCCAG